GGAUUGCAGACUGCUUGGGAAAUUCGAUCUGACUGGCAUUCCUCCAGCCCCAAGGUAUGUUUCCAUCCUUAGAUAAUUUUCUUGAACAAGUUCACCUCAACAUUGCUGGGAAUUGACAUCCUUUGAUUCUUUGAUUAAACAGGGGAACCCCUCAAAUUGAGGUUACAUUUGAAGUUGAUGCCAAUGGUAUCCUAAAUGUCAAGGCUGAAGACAAGGGCACCGGUAAAUCUGAGAAGAUUACCAUUACAAAUGAUAAGGGUCGUCUGAGCCAAGAGGAAAUUGAGCGAAUGGUUCGUGAGGCAGAAGAGUUUGCUGAGGAGUACAAGAAAGUGAAGGAAAGGAUU
rnacentral:misc_RNA from 1 species